GAGGGGGGAACGAGCUGGUUGCUUUCAUUUUUUUCCCCUUCCUUUCCAGCCCACAGAAAGCUCAUGUUGGCAUCAGUCCUAUGAAAACUUCUCCAAUCGUACUUAAUGGAGCAUGCAAAGGACGAGUACGGGAAUGGCUGUAUAAUGUGGGCCACUGUUUCCACUAAGCCUGGCAGUCACUGGGACUGUACAGCAAAGCCCUGCACAGCAGGGAGCCCAGCGAAUGCUCUGCCACUCAAAUUUAGGCACCUUUGCUCCAGUUGCUGCUUGGUAUAAACAGGGAUGAAAGUCUCAGUACUGAAGAAAGCAACACUGACACUCUGAAAUCACCCUUCAGCAUGACAACAAAAGACAGCUUCCUCAAGCAAAGGACAUUACAGGUGGCCUAUGAUGUCUCCGAGCAAAAUGUGUUCCUCCCUGCGAAACAGCCAUUAUGCAGUACAACAACCUCAAUGAGGCAUCACUGCUGGAGGUCAAAACAGAGAACAAGAUGAUGGCCCAGUCCAUCUGUUUUAUUCCAUAUAGGCAAGGUAUAACAAGAAAUUUAUUUUUUCUAAUAUCUGUGUAUCGCAUUCAGCAGCUGCUUGUCAACGUUAUGCUCGUUAAUGGAUGAAAAAGAAAGCAAAGACAUAAAAUGCAAUUUUUGUCUUCAACCAAAUCUAACUACUACCAACAUCAAAGGAAGAUUAAUCAUGAAUUUCAAAACAGGACUGAAAAAUGUACCCAGAAUAAUGAUAAAAAUAAAAAAAAACAAAAGCAGCUUCUAGACAGUGAGAGAGCAGGGGAACUGCCCAUAUGAACAGGAAAUGAUAUAAAUAAUUUGAUGCAACUAAAUCUACAUUCGUUGACACUCAAGAUCAACACUAACUGCUGGCUUCGUGCUAUCCAUUGCUGCUGGCACUGAACAUCACAGAAAGAUAUAGCCUGUUUUUUUCCUCACCUCAGAAGAGCAAUCAAUCCCUAUUCAAUCUACAGAAAAUGACAGAGGAAAAAAAAAAAGCAAUAACCAAUUUUCUUCAUAGCACUCUGCAAAGAGGACCAAAAGAGCCCCAGGACAGUAUUAUUUCUGUGGGCUUCAAAAGAGAAAAGUGAGAUGAUCCUUAUAAUGCUCACAAUUUAUUUCCUUUGUUUUUAAAAAACAAAAAACAAAAUAAAUUGGA
rnacentral:lncRNA from 7 species